rnacentral:lncRNA from 1 species
UAGCAGGAAGAUAAUGUGGUUUGAUGCAAUGGCCCAACACAAUAGAAGCUAAUGAAUAGAGCGUGUUGCACUCGAGAGACUGCAGUUCAAUUACUGGUGGUGCCAAUCAAGUCAGGAAUAUUAACCAUCGAUGGCUGAAAUUUAUUAAGCUUCAGGCCAAUGUUCAUACAUUUGAAAUGAUGUCAGAGCUCAGAAGACAGAAUCACUUAAUCUCCUACAGAAGACUGAGAAAACAGCUCAUCCUAUCCAACCAGUCAAUGUUGAGUGAUCAUUGGAAGAAAUAUAAUAAAAGAAUUUCAGAUUU